AACGUGCUGACGUUUACCUCAGGCGUGAGCUCACGAACGCGCGGGCGACAGUUACCCGGAAGCGAUGGUUUAUGGUCGUCAACUUGGAGGACCCUUCUGUGUAACGUUACAAUAAAUGAGUCCGAAAUAAACUCUUGAGAUGGAUUAUUUUUCUACAAGUCUCAUCUGGGUCCCCAUUAGGGUGUCCGGUAUAUCCAGGCAGACACAGACAAUCGCCUGCUAUGUGAUGACAGGAGGAGGCAUGUACACAUUGUGGAC